GCAUCCGUAGCUCAGUUGGAUAGAGUAUUGGAUUCCGAUUCCAAGGGUCACAGGUUCGAGUCCUGUCGGGUGCACCA
rnacentral:tRNA from 4 species